CAGAAUUGCUGGGUCAAACGGUAACUCUGUGUUUAACUACCAGCCUGUUUUCCAAAAUGACUGCACCAUUUUAUGUUCCCACCAGGAAUAUAAGAGGGUUUCAAGUUUUCCACAUCCUUGCCAAUACUUUUUAUCAUCUCUCUUUUUGAUUAUAGUCAUUCUAGUGGAUGCGAAGUGGUAUCUCAUGAGGUUUGAACUGCAUUUCCCUGAUUACUUAUGAUACUGAGCACUUCCAGGGAUAUUCUGCCAAUGUGGGAUAGGAGGAAAGCAGAGCUUUUUGCAACUGGAUUUCUCCAUGUCCCUGGGACACAGAGGAUGUCUUCAUGCACUGAGCGGUUCCUGUGUGAAGAACGUGACUCUGGACAAGACAGCUCUGCAGUUGAGACAGACCCUGAAGGAGCUGGAGGCUACCUGCUGACCACUCUUCCCAGCAGCUGAGAAGUGAGUCAUUUUUUGGAGUGGGAUCUUGGUGACAAACCUCCAUGUCUAUCAAAAAAGUAAGUAAUGAUAAUACCUACCUCAUGGGGUUGUGACGAGGAGUAAGUGAGUUAUUAUCUGGAAGAGUUUUUAGAAGAGCGUUUGCUGCUAUCACUGUGUGUACCUAUGUGCACGCAAGCGAAUGUAUGCAAUGCUUCUGUUCCAUCGCCAGAAUCAUGGAGAAUGACUUCUAGAAUGUAGUGAACUAAAGCGAAUGUUUCCACAUCUUAUUUACUCUCCUUCUCUGUUAGAAGGCUCAUGGGUUAUUUUAUGCGUUACUUUGUUAGGCAAUUCAGAUGGUCUUGACUUCUUUGUCUUCUGGACAUGAUGAAUGUUAGAAAUCUUUUCAAUCACCCUGGGCAGUCAUGAUAUAAACCUUGGCCUGUUUUUCCUACCAGAUGAUAAAAUGUGAAGAGUAGGAGCCUAGCAGGACUAACGAAGGAUGUGAUCUAGGUUGGGGCUCCAAGGAAAGGUUGAACAAAUUGUAAAAGGAAGCAAACACACUUCUGUGCAUUGAAUCCUCAAUUGAGACUCUGGGAGAGCAGGAGGCUCUUAGGGCUGACUUCAGUCAAGAAGCUUGGUGUUUAGGGUACACAGAAAGCCCAGCCUGGCUCUCUAGGUUGGCUGGCUUCUGAAAUUCCAGAUUCCGGUUUAUGUUCUGUCUGGGCUUUCUCAAGUGCUGUAGGCUCAAAGUGCAAAGAACUUCGCCCUUUGAAAUUGUCUGAGGUUACUUCUCAGAUUGAAUUGGGUAACAAAGGGCUCACUCUUGUUGACAAAGAACAGAAGAUGUCUGUUUCCUGGGGCAUGGUGAUUGGUACUAGGGUAUAUUCUUUUAAAGAAUGAAGCUAAGAGUAAAGGUUUUGAUUUUGGAAGAGCUUACACUCUGAAGAAAGGAGAGCACAAACUGAGAAAAAUGUGUGCAUAAAAAUAUGAACUUACAUGUGAAUGCUGAGAGAGUGAGUCUACCUCAUGGCUAGGUGAGUUCUGAAAGUGUUUUUGUGGGGAGUCUCUGAAGAGAGGAGUCUGGGAAGACUCUGAGUAAACGUUUGGAAGAAUGUUUUGAGGAGGGAAGGAGAUCAUGACUUGUUGAGAAAGAAGACCCCCUUAAGAAUUCACAAACAUGUGAAUUCCUUACAUAGUCGAACCUUGAACAACACCAGUGUUGGGGUACUGAUCCCCACACACAGUAAAAAAUUCUUGUAUAACUUUUGACUCCCUCAGAACUGAACUACUAAUAGUUUACAGUUGACCAGAAGCCUUACUAAUAACAUAAACAGUGAAGUAACACAUAUUUAGUAUGUUAUAUGUGUUAUAUCCUUACAAUAAAGUAAGCUGAAGAAAAGAAAAUGUUAUUAAA
rnacentral:lncRNA from 13 species